rnacentral:sRNA from 1 species
UUUUAAUAUUUCUUAGUUUGAGCCCAGGUGCGGUGUCUCACGCCUGUAAUCACAGCACUUUGGGAGGCCAAGGCAGGCGGAUCACUUGAGGUCAGGAGUUCAAGACCAGCCUGCCAACGUGGUGAAACCCUGUCUGUACUAAAAAUUUAAAAAAAAAAAAAAAAAAUUAGCCGUGCGUGGUGGCAGUCGCCUGUAGUCCCAGCAACUCCAGAGGCUGAAACAGGAGAAUCGCUUGAACCCCAGAGGUGGAGGUUGCAGUGAGCUGAGAUGGUGCCACUGCACUCCAGCCUGGGCGACAGAGCCAGACUGCAUCUUGUGGGUGUAAAAAAAAAAUUUGUAGUUUGAGAGUCAACUUUUUCCUCACAGUUUCUGAAAAUGUGGCCCUUUUGAUGCUGAUGAAAGCUGGUUGUGAUUUUAACACCUUAGUAGCCAGAAUCGAGACUGUCAUGGGGACAUUUAAAAUCUCACCACACUUGACACCAUUCACAAGUAGCCAUGUGGCUCAGUCUCCUGAGUGCUCCUGCAGAGUGCAGCUCUGCCAGGCUUUUCUCUAGAUAAUCUCGUGUGUGUUACUGUAGCAGUUUGAGUUUAAACACAAGAGUUCACUCGGUUAACAUGUUCUAACCAGCAAGAUUUCUGUUGUUUGCAGGUGCCGUGAGCGAUGUGGAGAUGCAGGAACACUAUGAUGAGUUUUUUGAGGUGAGAGAAUUGAACUCUGUGACUGAUAGACCUGUUGAUCUUCUGUAUCUGUUUGGAAGGAUUUAAAAUGUUUCUCUGCUAAUAAACAUACAUGAGUUAUAUCUAAUGACACUUUGUAAUGUAUAACGAGUCUUAAACCACUGUGGUCUCCCUUCAGGAGGUUUUUACAGAAAUGGAGGAGAAGUAUGGGGAAGUAGAGGAGAUGAACGUCUGUGACAACCUGGGAGACCACCUGGUGGGGAACGUGUACGUCAAGGUAGGAGCCAGGGCGAGACGGCGGCGUGGCCGCUUAGUGUGCCGGGGCCAAGGCCGACAGAGGAUGGGGUGCCUGCCGCCGUGCACCUUGAGAUCGUGGAUGCUCAGGUGCACAGCAGGGUCGGGUGCACUGGCUCGGCGCCUACCGGCUGCGUCAUAUGUGGCGGUGGCCAGCCCGCACGUGCGCCCAGCCAGCAGAACUGAAGGACGGACCGUACACCACAGCCUCGUUAUUUCAGUGUAGAAUAUUUAGUACCUGUUGGUUAGAAGCUGUGUGGACUAAGGAAAAGUUAGGUUUACUCACAUGUUUGGUUUCUUUUUUUUUUUUUUAGUGAAUAAAACUUUAUUUGCCUACACAGCCAUAUUUGCUCCUUUAACCAGUUGAAUUUGAAAAAUGAAAGCAACAUUUGGCAAAAUCUUGGACUAUCUUGAAGUUAAUCUCAUUGAAAAUUAAAGGAUUUUUCAAUUAUCCUGUAAUACUGUUCCACCUUACUAUACCUGAGUGUGUAUAUCUCUCUCUGAUACAUACUUGGAUUGGUAAUUGAGAAAGUCUUAUUAAAGCGUGGAUGGCAAGCACUUCUGUUUUUGUCUUUUCAGUUUCGCCGUGAGGAAGAUGCGGAAAAGGCUGUGAUUGACUUGAAUAACCGUUGGUUUAAUGGACAGCCGAUCCACGCCGAGCUGUCACCCGUGACGGACUUCAGAGAAGCCUGCUGCCGUCAGUAUGAGAUGGGAGAAUGCACACGAGGCGGCUUCUGCAACUUCAUGCAUUUGAAGCCCAUUUCCAGAGAGCUGCGGCGGGAGCUGUAUGGGCGCCGUCGCAAGAAGUGAGUAUUCCUGUGCCCGUUGUUAAGCUCAGUGGCUUCUUUCUCCCCUCGCAACCCUCCCCCUU